GGAGGGGUGGCCGAGUGGUUUAAGGCAGCGGUCUUGAAAACCGCCGUGGGUGCAAGCCCACCGUGAGUUCGAAUCUCACCUCCUCCGCCA
rnacentral:tRNA from 1 species